rnacentral:rRNA from 1 species
GAUGAACGCUGGCGGCGUGCUUAACACAUGCAAGUCGAACGGAAAGGCUCCUGCUUGCCUGGGUACUCGAGUGGCGAACGGGUGUGUAACACGGGGGUGAUCUGCCCUGCACGUCGGGAUAAGCCUGGGAAACUGGGUCUAACACCGGAGAGGACGAUGGUUUGGAUGCGAUUGUGGAAAGCUUUGCGGUUUGGGAUGAGCUGGCGGCCUAUCGGCUUGUUGUUGGGGUAAUGGUCUACCAAGGCGUCGACGGUUAGGCGGCCUGAGGGGGUGUACGGCGACAUUGGGACUGAGAGAGGGCGCAGCGUGCUACGGGGGGCAGCAGUGGGGAAUAUUGCACAAUGGGGGCGAGUCUGAUGAAGCGACGCCGCGUGGGGGAUGACGGCCUUCGGGUUAUAAACUCCUUUCGCUAGAGACGACGCGGAAGUGACGGUACCUGGAGAAGAAGCACCGGCUAACUACGUG